rnacentral:misc_RNA from 1 species
UGCUUAAUUAGCCUCAUUUCAGUAUUUUUACGCAGAUAUUUCUCUUGAAUUAGGCACUGAAGCAACAACCUAGCUCCUUUGGGCUCUUAUAGACCCAGGUUGCGUAAUAAUUUGAGUUGAGCUUCCUAGCUUGAUCAACUACUUGGCAAAUGUUCCACCACUCAUCAUAUGUUUAAAAUGGAGAAAAUUAUUGAGUGCAACCAUUGUAUGCACAAUGGUAUUAUUCUAACCAUUGAUCAUGAUGGGUCACUUUAUAAUCAAUGGAUAAAGUGCAUUUGUUGACUAUUAUAUGGGCUUUUGAGUAAAAUAGCAUAGGAACAUUGGCAAGUCUCUGGAUUUUGUUUGCAUUAAGACGGAGUCAAGUCCCCUGUGGAAGGGUAAAGUUGAUAUGGACUGCCCAGCAUCACUUUUUCUUGCAUCUUUUACACGGCAAAAUAAAAGAAUUUAUUUGCUUUAACUAAGUCGAGUCUUGUGUGAAAGUGUGAAUCUGAUAUGGACUGCCAACAACACUUUCUCUUGCCAUUUUUAUAAGGCAGAAUAAAAGAUUUGUUGUUUGUGGAAAAUGAUGUCAUUUUGAUUAUGAAUCUAAGAUAAUAGGAUUGAACUAUUUGGCUAAUAGCUGGAUGGUUGAGCACUUUCCCCUCUAAGGAAUCUCAGCUAAUUGAACUGAACUCUUGCAGGGCACAAUUUCACUUCAUCAUGCAUUUGAUCCUACUCAAAUACCCAGUUGAAUCUCCACUGAACAUUUGUUUCAUCUUGCACUUAAUCUUCUCAUUAUCGAUCAGUUUCUUUUUCCUUUCGCCACUGAACACAGAUAAUCCAAAAUCAGUGGCCUUCAACAUGGCUCCCUCAUCCUUGCUAGCCAGC